UUCUUGUGCCAUGUCCCAGCUAUAUUUUUAUUUAAAUGUAAGAUGUGAUAUAUUUAUAUAACUAGUUGUAACUUAAUUUUAAAUAUUGAUCUAAUUGUGAAAUAAUCUAAUUAUGCCUUUUAUAGCAGAAGUUCCACACUCAAAUGUAAAAGUGAGAUAACGUAUUUUUAAGGUUACUAGGAAGGAGAAAACAUAAUCUAUAAUCUAUUUUUAACAUGAAAGAUAAGGUUCAUGAUUACGAUAUUCAAUAAACAUAGGGACAUGCUUAAUUUCCCAGUGAGAAAUUGAGAAAAGGCCUAAAGGAUCAUAUGGAGAAGUGCAUUUAUGUCAUACAUUCAGAGUUCCCUGGGAAGAGGAUCAUUGGAUUUAUCAAUCACCCUCCAGGGCAGGACCUGUCCAGGAGUAGCGGGCCAUAACUGACCAACUUCAUGGGCUAUAUCUUGUUGUUGCUUGUUAAUUUUGUGUGGGUCUUUUUUGUCUUAUUGCUUUAUUAUUAUUAUUAUUAUUAUUAUUUUCUCUGUUUUUAUUUUCAGGGGAUUUUUUUUGAGAGAGAGAGAACAUGAAGUUAGGUAGGGAGGAUCUGAGAAAAGUUGGGAUAAGAAAAGAAAAUUAUUAAAAUAUAUUGUAUGAAAAAGAAUAAAAAGUUAAAUUAUUUUUCAAAGAUUAGUGAAUUCCAAUUGAAGUCACAACCUGCUUUUUUUAAGCAAAAGCUAUAAUUCUAAGAUUUAUUGACUUUUCCUUUGCUAUUGUUUUAAGGAUACUUAACAUUGUCCCUAUAACAUACCUUAAAUAAUGUACUAAAGAAAAGAAAGAAUCAUUGGAAAUCUGUAGAUAAACAGAAGAAGCAAAGUGCUAAGAUAAAAAGAAAUAGUGCAGAAAAUAAAAACAAGUGAAAAACACCUUGGUGCCUUUCCAGGUUCCCAGGAAGGCAAGCCCUUCUGAUGGUGCUGUGCAUGUAAAGGUUAGCAGCCUGCUUGCACUUUUCCAGCUUCGAGCACUGAUAUUGCAUCACAGUUUAGGUUCUGUGUCUAUGUCACGUGUUUGUGAGCUUCCUGUGUUGUGCCAUUGGGCUGUAAGUACAAAGAUAAACGAGACAAGAGUUCAGAUUCAAAGAAGGUAGACUCUAGAACUUUCUGGAAGAGUGCUUCCUCUUCAAAGAAAUAAGUUACAGCUGGGGCAUGGUGACACCAGACUCUGUCAGUCACCACUUAAUGUGCUUGGCUUUCGAAUGCGGAAAUGUGGCUUUUGUGCAAACACCAGAGGUUCUCUGUAACAUAAUGUAACAAGCUCGGCCUUUUGCCAAACCAGAGGUAGAACUAGGUGCCCAGGAGCACUGGUGGGAACAUUGCAACACCUAUCCCAGAACCUUCCAUGCCUCGCUUAUUCGGGAAUGCCAAGUAGGAAAAGAUUCCAUCCAAGGAAGGAAGGGAAAAAAUGGAAAAGCUGGAGGAUUCCAGGUCUAUUUCAAACCCCUUACUAAAAUGUCCCUGGAGGCAGGAUGAAGUAGCCACUGGCUUGGUGGAACAGGUCAGUGCUUUAUAGCAUAUUCCACCUAACUCAAUUGCCAGCUUUUUAUUUCCCUGCCUCUAAACACAGUAGAAAAUUCAGCAAUGCAUCUCACUCACAACUGUGCCUGUGUCAGAAAUUCUGAGCAGCACUGACAAUUUAGCUUGGUGCAGAACAGGAAAACAUAUUUCUUUGGGUUAUGCCAAAAAUAAUUUUUUGCAACUUUCCAUUGAGAAUAGAUUGAACCACAUGCCAUAAAAUUAGCCCUUGCUGGAAACAGGAGGUGAUGGCUGGCUGUGGGUGCUUUCCUUCUCUGUGUGUUAAAUUCUAGGAUAACAGUUUGUGCACCUUUAGCUACAGGGCCAGGUCUGGCUUUUCUUUAAGAUUUGUAUUGGUUUGUUCAUUCGAGCAUGUCUAGGCCACCUCUGGUCAGUCUCUUGCAGCUGACUCCCAGGCUGAGCUGAGCAGAGACUCUGUUCCCUUAUCACAGCCUCUUUGUGUCUUGUGUCUGAGCUGAAAGGGGAAGCAAUGGCCCGUGCUGACUAAUCCUGGCAGCCACACUUCCCCUCUGGAUGGGCCAGACACAGCUCUGCUCUGUCAUUGGCCUAGUCAGCAGAAUUCACAGAAUCCUUCUGAGAAGCUAUGGUGUUUACAUUCUCAAAGACACACAAACACUUGUAAAUUACAAUUCUCACCCCCACCCUGCAUUUCCUCAUUUCUUUCUCUAACUUAUUUAGCUAAAAGAAAAUACUUUGUGUGUGCAUGCUGAUUAUACUAUCAGCUUAUGACCAGACAAGCUAAAAACCAACUCAGAGAGCCUGUCUGCUCACUUGG
rnacentral:lncRNA from 1 species